UUUCAGGAAUUUCCCGGCCCAUCCCAGAUCUUCCCGAUCCAGUAAGCUUCACGCUCAGGUUUUCUCACCCACGAGGUCAACCCCGUGUUUUCGGUCGUGGAAAGCCGACAGAGGGAGGCGACGCGACGGCGGCGACAGACGGCGGGGAAAGGAGACGGCGGCGACGACGAGAUCCUGCUCUGGCGACUGUCCCCUGUAAUUCCUCGCGCCCCCUCCCCUUUUCCCGUCUUCCCUAGCUAAGUUUCUUGGUGUCGCUGCCGUCCGCAACGGAGCUCUGGGAGCUCGCCGUCGCCUCCCUCGAGAUGGAUAACCUCUGCCACCGGUGAGUCCGUGCCAGAUCGACGCGCAGCAGCUCUUCGUCGAGGCUUUCCUCGGCAAGCACCCGCACCACAAAAGGGGCAAGCUCGCCUCCUCCUCGGCCGCUGCCAUGUAGCAGGAUUGAUAGCUUCAGCUCCGGUCAUUCAGCUCACUGCCUUUUUCUAGUUCGAACCUUGUACUGGUCCAACCUUAUUUUGUUCUGUUUCUUCUACGGUGGCUUUUCUAAACAUGGAUGUUUAAGUUAUACUCACGGCCUGUCCGGAAGUGAGUACACAAGGGAGCACAAUCGGUGGAUAAAACUAGGUGGGAAAUAAUCUUGGCAGGGAUUGUGGAGGCCUGAAUGAUCUUACUAAAGUUACUUUGUGAGCCAAGUAAAAUAUGGAGGAUUCAAUCAGCUACUCUUGAAAUAAGACUAAUCCCUGACGAGAUAUUUUGUAGAAGGAUAAAGCAAGAUAUCCUGCUCUUGCUGCAUACUAAUGUCAUUUGCAACCUCCUGUUUAGUUUAUUGGAAAGGGUAAAUUUCAAGUUUGUAACACUUUAUUUGUGAAGUUGGUUCUCAAAUAAGUGCAGUAUUCUUGUAGCUCAGAUCAUCCUUACCUGACCAAUUUCAUUGCAUAUGUCAAUUAAAUUACAAAUUAUUUGUGUGAAUUUGUUGUACGUUGCUCAGAAGAAUCUCCACACAAGUUCAAUUACUGUUUUCAGUAGUUUGGCAUACUCUCAUGCACUAAUAAUUCCCCAAAUUCAGAACCAACCUUUAUAAUUCUGUUCAAGAUAGCACAUUUUGUUUUGUGACAUGAUAUAUUGAAUAGGCUGACCAUAAUACAGUUAGAUUUACUUGGCUGCAUCGACAACACUAUCUUCUCGGCUUUUGAACUGAAGUCUUAUAUAUUCAUGCUUUAUUUGGCAGCUGCGCUUGCCUUUGCAUAUACUGAGCUAUGAAGAACAUGAGUGCAAUUAUCACAGAAUUACAAAAAGAAACAACUGAUUAACUUAAUCUCUGCCCCUGUGUUUUUAAUUUAGAGGGUCCUUUAGACUUUUGAUUAAGUACGGAGUAGCUUUUUUUUUUUUUUUUGAUAGAUACCUACAACCAGUAUGUUCAAUGAUUUACUGAAUUGUCCGGUGAUCCUUUCGGAUCCACCUGCUAUUCUGUUAAGCAUUAGUAGUUGCUGCUUUAUUCUAUCAUUGUACCAUUUUACCUUCCUGUGUUUGACAUGCUCUGUAUUCGAAAAUGCUCUGUAUUAGAUUUUUUUUAUUUGGAAUGCUAGUGAUUUCUGGAAUGAUAAUGAGCUUGUAACCCUUGCACAGAAUGCUUUCUUAGAGGCAGACUUCUGUGAGAAUGAGGUCAAGGGUGCAGUCUACUGAAGGUGCUCCAGGGUCUGAUGGUUUAUCUUUUAUUUUCUAUCAGAAGUUCUCGGAUCUUAUUAGUUCAGUAUAACUGGGCAUAGACAAGCGUACUGAACUGGGAUCUUUUUGAUUUAAGUUAUAUUCUGCUAUAGGUUGACUGUUGUAGUCUGGGUCUCCCUUCUUGGCUGGCCUUGAGCAACAUCUAAAAACUGAUUUUUGCAUCUUAUUUGACCACUGGCAGACCAUUUUGGCUAUGAUGUGCAAUAACAUUUGAAUGAUUUUCGACCGGUAAAUAGCAUGAGCGAUGGGGAGCCUGAAGCCAACUUUUGAUGGAGGUCCUUUGAUGGUGGCGGCGUGGUUUCUGGCGUUCGGCGGCGAGCGCGCCAUGACUUCUAAUGUUCUUCAAACUGCUUGAUGCUGAGUUUAUGGCGGCGGUUGCUCAUCUGUUGAGUCGAACAUUUAUUUAUAUAUGUGUUCUUGUUCGAGAAAAUUGCAUGACAUUGAGUUUAUGUAAAAAUAGAGUUUUUAAUUUACUGAUUGUCCAUUAUCAUGUUCUGGGAUGCAAAGAUUGAGUUUUUAUUAUCUGAUCUCAA